rnacentral:rRNA from 1 species
UACGUAGGGGCAAGCGUUGUCCGGAUUUAUUGGGCGUAAAGAGCGUGUAGGCGGCCAGACAGGUCCGUUGUGAAAACUAGAGGCUUAACCUCUAGACGUCGAUGGAAACCGUCUGGCUAGAGUCCGGAAGAGGAGAAUGGAAUUCCUGGUGUAGCGGUGAAAUGACGCAGAUAUCAGGAAGAACACCCGUGGCUAAGGCGGUUCUCUAGUACGGUACUGACGCUGAGACGCGAAAGCGUGGGGAGCGAACAGG